UACGAAGGGGGCUAGCGUUGUUCGGAAUUACUGGGCGUAAAGCGCACGUAGGCGGAUAUUUAAGUCAGGGGUGAAAUCCCGCAGCUCAACUGCGGAACUGCCUUUGAUACUGGGUAUCUAGAGUAUGGAAGAGGUGAGUGGAAUUCCGAGUGUAGAGGUGAAAUUCGUAGAUAUUCGGAGGAACACCAGUGGCGAAGGCGAGUCCCUGGACAACAACUGACACUGAGGCACGAAAGCGAGGGGAGCAAACAGG
rnacentral:rRNA from 1 species